CAAGAGGUUGCCUGUUUGAUCCCUGGUCAGGGCACAUGCCUGGGUUGUGGACUUGGUCCCUGGUAGCGGUGUGCAGGGGACAGCUAAUCAACGAUUCUCUCUCAUCAUUGAUGUUUCUAUUUCUCUUUCCCUUCCUCUCUGAAAUCAAUAAAAAUUUAUUUUU